AGCUAAUGUACCUUUAAGGGCUGAGGUGAGCCGGUCUCCUAGCAACAGCCAGGUUUGCAGCAGUUGGACAAUUAGGUUUUAGUAUCACAUUAGUUAAAAGAGGCCCUGCGGGGGGAAGAAGGUGAGGGACGUUUUAACUGGACAGCAGUACUGUCUGGGUUUAGAGACUCCACAGAAGACCCGAGUGACGGACGAGAGUCGAGUUGGACCUUCCGGUCGGGAAUCACGCUUUUUUGAAGGCAAUUGGUUGGAGUCGAAAUCGCAGACGCAAGAUAAGCAAGACUCCACAGAAGACCCGAGUGACGGACGAGAGUCGAGUUGGACCUUCCGGUCGGGAAUCACGCUUUUUUGAAGGCAAUUGGUUGGAGUCGAAAUCGCAGACGCAAGAUAAGCAGUAGGAACAUUAUUCUUUUAUUUAUUGUCUUACUUACAUUAUUGUCUUAAUGAUGUGGAAAGGCAAGGAUAGGAGAGGUUGUGUGGAUCGAUACCUGCCACGUGGGCGAGUGGGUAACUCUGGUUAGUGUCCCUGGGGAUUCCUUCUUAACCACGGUCAGGUUAAAAAUAGUCCAGAACUUUCAUUAUGUGAAAAUUCUGGAAAAAUAGUCCCAACUACCUAAGGGAAUUAAGAAGUAGGCCUACAGAUUCUCCGCAUGGCCUGAAUGAGGCCCAAGGAGCUAGGCCGCCCUGGAAUUAAACCCUUAGAAGUAGUAUGACCUGUACAAUUUUGUGCCUUUCGUUGUCUGGUCUAGGGGGUAGUACAUACGCCAAGCGUGAUUGGCUUGGUUUAAGCCAUUUCAGGGGAGGUGUCGCCUUUCAUUGUCUGGUCCAGGGGUAAUACACACGGCAAGCUUGAUCAACUUGACGGAGCCGGCUCGAGGAGGGUGUCUAAUGUAAAGGCUCGAAACACCCGAAGAUCCGAGAGUGCAUUACUGAUGAUGUGUCCUGGCACAUGAUAAUGAAAGGUUUCGAUUUUCCUAUACAAGCAGCUGGCUUAGGAGCUCAGACUUUAAAUUCUGCAGACUAACCUUUGCCAGCUAAACAUAUAGAUCCACCAGCCCUACACUUAAACCUAAUCCUAAAGUCCAAAAGGGGCAUACACCCCCAUAAAUAGGCAAAUUCCAAGAGGGGUAGUCACCCCCAUAAACCCUAGGCAACUUCCAAGGGGGGCAUACACCCCCACAAACCCUAGGCAUUCCCCGAUUAACUUUUGAUAUUCUGAGAGGGGUAGGAUUCAACAAGGGCAAGUGUGGGACCUGGUUAAUGAAGGCGUGGGCCAGAUCAAAGUGGCAGGGUGAUGUGAAACAGAAUCUCAAGUGAGGAGAUCAGAAAUCACAAGAGGGCUUUUUAGCCCACUGCCCGCAUAAUUUCAACCUAACCCUAACCCUAACCCUAACCCUAACCCUAACCCUAACCCUAACCCUAACCCUAACCCUAACCCUAACCCUAACCCUAACCCUAA